UACAGAGGUCCCGAGCGUUGUUCGGAUUCACUGGGCGUAAAGGGUGCGUAGGUGGUGAGGCAAGUCGGAUGUGAAAUCUCCAAGCUCAACUUGGAAAUGGCAUUGGAAACUACCUUGCUGGAGGUUUGGAGGGGGGACUGGAAUACUUGGUGUAGCAGUGAAAUGCGUAGAUAUCAAGUGGAACACCAGUGGCGAAGGCGAGUCCCUGGACAACACCUGACACUGAGGCACGAAAGCUAGGGGAGCAAACAGG
rnacentral:rRNA from 1 species